rnacentral:rRNA from 1 species
UCGGGUUGUAAAGCACUUUUGUCCGGAAAGAAAACUUCGUCCCUAAUAUGGAUGGAGGAUGACGGUACCGGAAGAAUAAGCACCGGCUAACUACGUGCCAGCAGCGCGGUAAUCGUAGGGUGCGAGCGUUAAUCGGAAUUACUGGGCGUAAAGCGUGCGCAGGCGGUCUGUUAAGACCGAUGUGAAAUCCCCGGGCUUAACCUGGGAACUGCAUUGGUGACUGGCAGGCUUGAGUGUGGCAGAGGGAGGUAGAAUUCCACGUGUAGCAGUGAAAUGCGUAGAGAUGUGGAGGAAUACCGAUGGCGAAGGCAGCCUCCUGGGCCAACACUGACGCUCAUGCACGAAAGCGUGGGGAGCAAACAGGAUUAGAUACCCUGGUAGUCCACGCCCUAAACGAUGUCAACUAGUUGUUGGGGAUUCAUUUCCUUAGUAACGUAGCUAACGCGUGAAGUUGACCGCCUGGGGAGUACGGUCGCAAGAUUAAAACUCAAAGGAAUUGACGGGGACCCGCACAAGCGGUGGAUGAUGUGGAUUAAUUCGAUGCAACGCGAAAAACCUUACCUACCCUUGACAUGGUCGGAAGUCUGCUG